rnacentral:rRNA from 1 species
GACGAACGCUGGCGGCGUGCUUAACACAUGCAAGUCGAACGGAAAGGCCCUGCUUUUGUGGGGUGCUCGAGUGGCGAACGGGUGAGUAACACGUGAGUAACCUGCCCUUGACUUUGGGAUAACUUCAGGAAACUGGGGCUAAUACCGGAUAGGAGCUCCUGCUGCAUGGUGGGGGUUGGAAAGUUUCGGCGGUAGGGGAUGGACUCGCGGCUUAUCAGCUUGUUGGUGGGGUAGUGGCUUACCAAGGCUUUGACGGGUAGCCGGCCUGAGAGGGUGACCGGCCACAUUGGGACUGAGAUACGGACCAGACUCCUACGGGAGGCAGCAGUGGGGAAUAUUGCACAAUGGGCGGAAGCCUGAUGCAGCAACGCCGCGUGCGGGAUGACGGCCUUCGGGUUGUAAACCGCUUUCGCCUGUGACGAAGCGUGAGUGACGGUAAUGGGUAAAGAAGCACCGGCUAACUACGUG